GACGAACGCUGGCGGCGUGCCUAAUACAUGCAAGUAGAACGCACAGUUUAUACCGUAGCUUGCUACACCAUAGACUGUGAGUUGCGAACGGGUGAGUAACGCGUAGGUAACCUGCCUGGUAGCGGGGGAUAACUAUUGGAAACGAUAGCUAAUACCGCAUAAUAUUAAUUAUUGCAUGAUAAUUAAUUGAAAGGUGCAAUUGCACCACUACCAGAUGGACCUGCGUUGUAUUAGCUAGUAGGUGAGGUAACGGCUCACCUAGGCGACGAUACAUAGCCGACCUGAGAGGGUGAUCGGCCACACUGGGACUGAGACACGGCCCAGACUCCUACGGGAGGCAGCAGUAGGGAAUCUUCGGCAAUGGACGAAAGUCUGACCGAGCAACGCCGCGUGAGUGAAGAAGGUUUUCGGAUCGUAAAGCUCUGUUGUAAGAGAAGAACGGGUGUGAGAGUGGAAAGUUCUCACUGUGACGGUAUCUUACCAGAAAGGGACGGCUAACUACGUG
rnacentral:rRNA from 1 species